AUGUAAACCUGCCUCCAUCCGGCCUACCCCUCAGGGCAUGGGAGCGGGUGCUUGUGUGUUUGACAAAGUCCAGCCAGCUGCAAGUGGGAGGGGAGAAGGACUCUGCUUUGCUUCGUGAGGCCAGAACUAAGGGGAGAGUGCUGUCUGGUUCCAGGGGCCUCAGCUCUGAAUGGAGGUGAGCUCUGAGAAGGCGCAGAGUGCUGAGGGAGACAGGCGAGUCCCUGAGAUCCCCCUCAGCCUCCACUGUCUGUCGAAUGCCCUCCAGGGCACAUACCUUGGGGGAAACCUAUGUGCCAAAGUCCCUGUGCCCAGGAAGGCUCCGCUGACUCCUCGGUUUCCCCUCUCCCAUUACAAGCACACGUGUGGGUGUGUGUAUGCGAGUGCGAGCACACACACACACGCACACACACAGGCUGCCCCAGAGGUUUGUGUGACAUGCUGUACCUGAUCUUCAUACCCAGCCUCCAGUCUGCUAGCCCGCAAGGUGCCUCUGUGCCUCUCAGCCCACCUCUUGCCCUGGCUGUCCUCUAGGUCUUCCACAUUCCUCAAAAUGAACAACUGCCAAGGUCUGGCCUCCUCCUAGGCAGGGUUUUGGAAGGAUGUCAGCCACCUGACUUGACCUGAGUGCCAUUCCCUGGGCAGCCCUUGGGGGAUCAGGGGAAAGGGGAGCCCUCCAGUGUGGGUCUGUUCUGGCUGCUGGGGUCCCAGAUGGGCAGGCUCCUGAAUCCUGAAAGACCAGAGGUAUAUUCCCAGAAGCCCUGGGGAGGGAAGUGCUUGGGUAGAUAGAGAAGGAUGUGGUGGAGGGCAGAACUUAGGUGGAUGGGUGGCAGAGGAGGUCUUAUGACCUUUUGACCUGUCCUCCACAGCCCUGCUGCUCUCUCACAGGGAACCUUAGAGGGAGGCGAGGAAACAGAUUCAGAUGAAGACUGCUGCAGGCCAGAUGCUGGCGCGCCAUGACUGGGCCGCAUUCUAUUCUGAGAGGACAAGGAAACUGUCUUCUACCUGGACCCUCCGUGCUGGCCUCUGAGCCAGGAAGGCCAGGCUCCCCCACCCUCCAGAAGCCCAAGAGGCAGCUGGAUUCCCAGGUCACAGGGCUACCCCCAUCCCCAGAAGGCAGAGACAAACCCCAUGACCACUUCCUGUCUCAGAGGCCCAGCCUUACACAAUGUGGACAGGAUGGAAGAGCGGGCCUCUGCAGAGAUGGCCAUCUGAUCAGGCUGGUCAGAGGCUGGAUUCCUGUGUUUCUGACCCUGCCUGAGAUGGACCAGGGAAGGAAAGUUUCCUGGAGGAGGUAGGGCUUGAACAGGUGGAAAGAAAGACCUUCGCAACUGGAGAUAGAGCCUGAGGCUCAAAGGAGCCGUGAGCCAAUGGGCAGGUCGGGAGAGGGGCUGGCGGUCCUCUCUAAGGUCAGUGGGUUGGGAGCCUGAGUUGGAGUAGUCAGAGAGGAAAAUGAGGCUUGUGGUCCUCCCUGACCUCAUCUCCUCUCCAGCCUUCUCUCCACGCCCAGAUGUGAUCAUCCUCUGNNNNNNNNNNNNNNNNNNNNNNNNNNNNNNNNNNNNNNNNNNNNNNNNNNNNNNNNNNNNNNNNNNNNNNNNNNNNNNCUUCCAGAGGCUCCAUGAAGGAGGAGCUGAGAUCCGAGUCAGGGAGUGUUUAGUCUGAAUCUCCUCCUCUCGAGUCUCCCACAUCGCCAGAUAACAGCCCAUCCAUGAUGUCCCCCUCCCACUUCAUGCUUGCCUCCCCCCACUCAGCUCCCAGUGCAUCUGAUCCUUGUGGGUUCUGAGCUCCUGGAAGGCUGCCACUUAAGGCAUAAGCGGG
rnacentral:lncRNA from 1 species